rnacentral:lncRNA from 1 species
UGUGGAUCUGCCUUCCCUAGCCCACUGACUGAAAUGUUAAUCUCUUUUGGUGACACCCACACAGACACACCCAGGAUUAAUACUUUGUAUCCCUCAAUCCAAUCAAGUUGACACUCGGUAUUAACUAUCGCAGGAGGAGAGCAUGAGCUACUUUCCAGUGUUUUUGUCACAAAUCCUUUCCACACUCUGAGUUCCUUUACAUCUCUGGUUCUUAUGUCUGCCGUGAAACAACCUAGUGAGAUCCAGGACAGUGUCCAACUUAUAUUAGACCAACUUUCCUCCCUAUGACAUUAAUAGCUGGGGUAUGGAUCAGUCCGAGUGACAUGUAAACUCCAAUCAAAUCACCAACUGGCAUCAGAAAUGCACACAUACAAGGUAAGACUCCAAGAAACUUCGCAACAACAGCUAGAAAGCUAAAAGAGCUGAAUAGAGAUUUUGGUGGGUGCCCACUUUAGUAGAUUUGGAAUUUGGAUUUUAAUUCCUGCCAAAUGAGAGUGAUUGGAUGAACACCUUGGCCUUCCCAUUGAGGCUUCACAUCUUAGAAAUAAAGACAAUAUUACAAGACUAAAUGAUUUUCCCCAGGACUAAGGGUGAUACCAGAAUAGAGCUACUCUUAAAAACAAAACAGACCAGGCACAAUCCCUCAUGCUUGUAAUCCCAGCACUUUGGAGCAUCACUUAAGCCCAGGAGCUUGAGAUCAGCCUGGACAACAUAAUGAAACCUUGUUUCUUACAAAAGAUUUAAAAAUUAGCUGGAUAUGGUGGUGUACACUUGUAGUCCUGGCUACUCAGGAAGCUGAGGUGGGAGAAUUGCUUGAGCCUGGGAGGUCAAAUCUGCAGUGAGCUGUAAUUCACCACUAUGCUCCAGACUGGGUGACAGAGUGAGACUGUAUUUCAAAAACAAAAACAUAAACAAACAGACAAAACAACCUGCAAACCAAGUCUUCACAAGUUCAAAGUGAUCAAGAAGAAGAGGGAUCAAAUUUAGGGUUUCCACAACAUGUCAUUCACCAUGUUCAAUAGGUAAUACAGAACUCUCAGAUGUUAAAGAAACAGGAAAAUAUGAUCCAAGGUCAAGAGAAAAAUCAGUUUAUAGG